AUGCUAGUAUAUGAGUUCAUCCCAAAAGGAACACUGUUUGAUCUUAUUCACAGAAAGAAUAGUAAACCGCAUCUCCCUUUCAGUUCACUUCUAAGGAUCGCCAAUGAGGCAGUUGAGGGGCUUGCAUUUUUACAUUCCUACGCAAACCUACCAAUUCUACAUGGUGAUGUGAAAACCUCUAACAUCUUUCUUGAUGAGAAUUACAUGGCAAAGGUGUCAGAUUUUGGGGCAUCUAUAAUAGCACCAACUAACAAAGCCUAGUUCGUCACAAUGGUUCAUGGGACAUGUGGUUAUCUGGACCACGAAUAUAUGCAGACAUAUUGGUAGACAAACAAAAGCGGUGUUGUUCUUAUAGAGAUCCUAACUGGGGAGGAGCCACUGAAACUUGAAGGUCCUGAGGUAUGCCAGAGCUUGUCGUCGAGUUUCCUGCUAGCUAUGAAGGGGAACAAUCUUGAUAAUAUGCUCAACAAUCCAAUAAAAAGUCAUGACAUCAUGGAGUUGAUUGUAGGGGUAGCAAAUCUAGCUAGGCAAUGCUUGGAAAUGUGCAGUGACAAUAGGCCCUCAAUGAAAGAGGUAUCUGAGGAGCUUAGCAGAUUAAGGAAGCUUUUGAGGCAUCCUUGGAUACAGCGUGAUACUGAGACAGGUAGCUUUCUCGGUCUGAUUGAAAUAGAACAAAGCUCUGAGUGCACAGAAAAGGAUGAAAGAAUGCCCAUAAAUCCAAGCAGUUUUUACCUUAUGAGGUGA
rnacentral:rRNA from 1 species